AUGGCUGCUGCAUCCGAGAGUGGCAACUGCAGUGCUUGGGCGGCAAAAGAUCCUUCUGGAGUACUCUCCCCACACAGUUUCAACCGUAGGACUGUACGACAUGACGAUGUUUCUUUGAGGAUCACGCAUUGUGGUGUCUGUUACGCUGAUGUUAUCUGGACAAAAAAUAGGCACAAUGACUCGGUGUACCCUUUAGUCCCUGGGCAUGAAAUUGCUGGAGUUGUAACUGAGGUUGGUUCAGAUGUCAAGGGCUUCAAACUGGGCGACCAUGUGGCUGUUGGGACAUAUGUCAACUCAUGCCGUGACUGUGACAACUGCAAUAGCUUCCUCGAGAACCACUGCUCAAAAUUUGUUUUCACUUUCAAUGGUGUUGAUACGGACGGUACUGUCACGAAGGGAGGAUAUUCCAGUCACAUUGUUGUUCAUGAACGGUAUUGCUAUAAAAUACCUGAUGGCUACCCACUGGAAAAGGCCGCACCUUUAGUUUGUGCUGGGAUCACUGUGUACAGUCCGAUGAUGCGACAUAACAUGAACCAGCCAGGAAAGUCACUCGGUGUCAUUGGUCUCGGUGGGUUGGGUCACAUGGCAGUGAAAUUUGGGAAAGCCUUUGGACUGAAGGUGACUGUUCUUAGUACAAGUGAAUCGAAAAGAGAUGAAGCAAUCAGCCUUCUUGGUGCAGAUAACUUUGUGGUAUCAUCAGAUAAAACACAGAUGGAGUCCUUGAAAAAUUCUCUGGAUUUCAUUGUCGAUACUGCCUCUGGUGACCACCCAUUCGACCCUUAUCUUGCGCUUCUGAAAGUUCGUGGCCUAAUGGCACUAGUUGGCUUUCCUGGAGAAAUCAGAGUGCAUCCUGCAACACUUAAUCUCGGUGCACGGACUUUAUCUGGUAGUGUAACCGGAGGCACAAAGGAUACCCAGGAGAUGAUAAACUUCUGCGCGGCAAACAAAAUCUACCCAGAUAUUGAGGUUAUAAAGAUAGACUACAUCAACGAGGCUCUCGAGAGGCUUGUCAACCGGGAUGUGAGGUACCGGUUUGUAAUCGACAUAGAGAGCUCUUUAAAGUAA
rnacentral:rRNA from 1 species